UACGUAGGGUGCAAGCGUUAUCCGGAAUUAUUGGGCGUAAAGAGCUCGUAGGCGGUUUGUCGCGUCUGCUGUGAAAACCCGAGGCUCAACCUCGGGCCUGCAGUGGGUACGGGCAGACUAGAGUGCGGUAGGGGGAGAUUGGAAUUCCUGGUGUAGCGGUGGAAUGCGCAGAUAUCAGGAGGAACACCGAUGGCGAAGGCAGAUCUCUGGGCCGUAACUGACGCUGGAGGAGCGAAAGCGUGGGGAGCGAACAGG
rnacentral:rRNA from 1 species